UACGAAGGGGGCUAGCGUUGUUCGGAAUUACUGGGCGUAAAGCGCACGUAGGCGGACAUUUAAGUCAGGGGUGAAAUCCUGGAGCUCAACUCCAGAACUGCCUUCGAUACUGGAAAGCUCGAGUCCGGGAGAGGUGAGUGGAACUGCGAGUGUAGGGGUGAAAUUCGUAGAUAUUCGCAAGAACACCAGUGGCGAAGGCGGCUCACUGGCCCGGUACUGACGCUGAGGUGCGAAAGCGUGGGGAGCAAACAGG
rnacentral:rRNA from 1 species